rnacentral:tRNA from 1 species
GCCUGGGUGGCUCAGUCGGUUAAGUAUCUGACUUCAGCUCAGGUCAUGAUAUCACAGUUCGUAGGUUCGAGCCCUGCGUCGGGCU